rnacentral:lncRNA from 1 species
GGAGCCUCGGCGGCCGCCGGCUGCACGGAGCGCUGGAGCCCGAGCCGAGCCGAGCCCGAGCCCGAGCCGCCGCCGCCGCCGCCGCCGCCGCCGCCGCCGCCAACGCCGCGCUCGGCUCCCAGGCUCCCUCCCCGCGCGCCGGCCGGGGUGUGGGGGGCGGCGGGCCGGAGGGACGAGGGCGGGCGAGAGGCGCGCGCCGGGAUUGGCGCCGAAGACCGGACCCUCAGCCGCUGGGGGUUGUGGUGAGUCCGCUGCAAGUCAGUUGAUCUGUUCCAUGUCUCCUCAAUCAGGAUUCCAGACUGAUAGAACAGUUGCCAUCUUGAAUGUUUUACGUUGCUAUGGGGAGAAUAAAGAUUACUCCAGAGGGUGUCAGGCUGGCAUUUAA